UGUUUGGAGAGUUUGAUCCUGGCUCAGGACGAACGCUGGCGGCGUGCUUAACACAUGCAAGUCGAACGGAAAGGUCUCUUCGGAGAUACUCGAGUGGCGAACGGGUGAGUAACACGUGGGCAAUCUGCCCUGCACUUCGGGAUAAGCCUGGGAAACUGGGUCUAAUACCGGAUAGGACCACGAGACGCAUGUCUUGUGGUGGAAAGCUUUUGCGGUGUGGGAUGGGCCCGCGGCCUAUCAGCUAGUUGGUGGGGUGACGGCCUACCAAGGCGACGACGGGUAGCCGGCCUGAGAGGGUGUCCGGCCACACUGGGACUGAGAUACGGCCCAGACUCCUACGGGAGGCAGCAGUGGGGAAUAUUGCACAAUGGGCGCAAGCCUGAUGCAGCGA
rnacentral:rRNA from 1 species